UAUAAGAUUAAUGUACAAAAGUCAACUGCUGGAAUGACACAGAGAAGAUUGGCAUGGUCCCUGUGCAAGGAUGACACACAAAUUCAUGAAGUAUUCCAUAUAUUU